rnacentral:rRNA from 1 species
AGCGAACGCUGGCGGCAGGCCUAACACAUGCAAGUCGAACGAACCUUUCGGGGUUAGUGGCGGACGGGUUAGUAACACGUGGGAACGUGCCUUUAGGUUCGGAAUAACUCAGGGAAACUUGUGCUAAUACCGAAUGUGCCCUUCGGGGGAAAGAUUUAUCGCCUUUAGAGCGGCCCGCGUCUGAUUAGCUAGUUGGUUGAGGUAAUGGCUCACCAAGGCGACGAUCAGUAGCUGGUCUGAGAGGAGGAUCAGCCACAUUGGGACUGAGACACGGCCCAAACUCCUACGGGAGGCAGCAGUGGGGAAUCUUGCGCAAUGGGCGAAAGCCUGACGCAGCCAUGCCGCGUGAAUGAUGAAGGUCUUAGGAUUGUAAAAUUCUUUCAACGGGGACGAUAAUGACGGUACCCGGAGAAGAAGCCCCGGCUAACUUCGUG